rnacentral:rRNA from 1 species
GAAUAUUGGACAAUGGGGGGAACCCUGAUCCAGCCAUGCCGCGUGUGUGAAGAAGGCCUUUUGGUUGUAAAGCACUUUAAGCGAGGAGGAGGCUACUCUAGUUAAUACCUAGAGAUAGUGGACGUUACUCGCAGAAUAAGCACCGGCUAACUCUGUGCCAGCAGCCGCGGUAAUACAGAGGGUGCAAGCGUUAAUCGGAUUUACUGGGCGUAAAGCGCGCGUAGGUGGCCAAUUAAGUCAAAUGUGAAAUCCCCGGGCUCAACCUGGGAACUGCAUCCAAAACUGGCGAGCUAGAGUAUGGGAGAGGAUGGUAGAAUUCCAGGUGUAGCGGUGAAAUGCGUAGAGAUCUGGAGGAAUACCGAUGGCGAAGGCAGCCAUCUGGCCUAAUACUGACACUGAGGUGCGAAAGCAUGGGGAGCAAACAG